rnacentral:rRNA from 1 species
GUGGGGAAUCUUGCGCAAUGGGCGAAAGCCUGACGCAGCCAUGCCGCGUGGAUGAUGAAGGUCUUAGGAUUGUAAAAUCCUUUCACCGGUGAAGAUCAUGACUGUAGCCGGAGAAGAAGCCCCGGCUAACUUCGUGCCAGCAGCCGCGGUAAUACGAAGGGGGCUAGCGUUGCUCGGAUUUACUGGGCGUAAAGGGCGCGUAGGCGGACAUUUAAGUCAGGGGUGAAAUCCCGGGGCUCAACCUCGGAACUGCCUUUGAUACUGGGUGUCUUGAGUAUGAGAGAGGUGUGUGGAACUCCGAGUGUAGAGGUGAAAUUCGUAGAUAUUCGGAAGAACACCAGUGGCGAAGGCGACACACUGGCUCAUUACUGACGCUGAGGCGCGAAAGCGUGGGGAGCAAACAGGAUUAGAAACCCGUGUAGUCC